CCCAAAACACUUCUUGGGUCCUAGCCUUCUCAAGACCAACAACUUUCUCUCCUUUCUUUUCCUUAAUUUCCCAAGAAUACUUCUUGGAUGUGUAGAAAGAUUCAUAUCUCUCUUUGGGCGUUAACCCUCCUUUUGUGGUUUUCAAACAUUAACACUUGGGUGCCACACUCUGGACCAACAUCAAUACCUACCCAAUGUCCAACUCUUGGACAUGAUCCUCUUAGAGGCAUGAAACUUCCUUUUGCACAUGGUCCAUGGGGCGUGGGAUUUAUUUUAGCAUGAACUAUUCAC
rnacentral:lncRNA from 1 species